rnacentral:rRNA from 1 species
CCUACGGGGUGCAGCAGUGGGGAAUAUUGCGCAAUGGGCGAAAGCCUGACGCAGCGACGCCGCGUGAGGGAUGAAGGUCUUCGGAUCGUAAACCUCUGUCAGCAGGGAAGAACGGUCACUGUGCUAAUCAGCAGUGAAUUGACGGUACCUGCAAAGGAAGCACCGGCUAACUCCGUGCCAGCAGCCGCGGUAAUACGGAGGGUGCGAGCGUUAAUCGGAAUUACUGGGCGUAAAGCGCUCGUAGGCGGUAUGUCAAGUCAAGGGUGAAAUCCCCGCGCUCAACGUGGGAACUGCCUUUGAAACUGGCAAACUGGAGUGUGUGAGAGGAUAGUGGAAUUGCAGGUGUAGGAGUGAAAGCCGUAGAUAUCUGGAGGAACAUCAGUGGCGAAGGCGACUAUCUGGCACAUAACUGACGCUGAGGAGCGAAAGCGUGGGUAGCAAACAGGAUUAGAUACCCCAGUAGUC